GAUGAAGAACGCAGCGAAAUGCGAUAAGUAAUGUGAAUUGCAGAAUUCAGUGAAUCAUCGAAUCUUUGAACGCAUCUUGCGCUCCUUGGUAUUCUGAGGAGCAUGCCUGUUUGAGUGUCAUUAAAUUCUCAACUACACUGACUUUGAAUUGGUGUGGCUUGGAUUUGGGGGGAAAAUUGUUGUGGGCUUUUUGUAUAGUCUGCUCCCCUGAAAUUGAUUAGCGGUACCUUUGUGGAACUGUGUACAGGUGUGAUAAUUAUCUACAUCUUAGACAUCUGCUGGAAUGCUGCUCUCUAAACCUUACUUGUAUUGACAAUCUUGACCUCAAAUCAGGUAGGACUACCCGCUGAACUUAAGCAUAUCAAUAAGCGGAGGA
rnacentral:misc_RNA from 1 species